rnacentral:rRNA from 1 species
UACAGAGGGGGCAAGCGUUGUUCGGAAUUACUGGGCGUAAAGGGCGCGUAGGCGGCCCGCUAAGUCGAACGUGAAAUCCCCGAGCUCAACUCGGGAACUGCGUCCGAUACUGGCGGGCUUGAAUCCGGGAGAGGGAUGCGGAAUUCCAGGUGUAGCGGUGAAAUGCGCAGAUAUCGGGAGGAACACCAGUAGCGAGGGCGGCUCGCUGGGCCACACCUGACGCUGAGACGCGAAAGCUAGGGGAGCGAACAGG